rnacentral:rRNA from 1 species
UACGUAGGGUGCAAGCGUUAAUUGGAAUUACUGGGCGUAAAGGGCGCGUAGGCGGCCAGUGCAAGUCAGUUGUGAAAUCUCCGAGCUUAACUCGGAACGGUCAACUGAUACUGCUCGACUAGAGUGCGGAAGGGGCAACUGGAAUUCUUGGUGUAGCGGUGAAAUGCGUAGAUAUCAAGAGGAACACCUGCGGCGAAGGCGGGUUGCUGGGCCGACACUGACGCUGAGGCGCGAAAGCUAGGGGAGCGAACGGG